GAUGAACGCUGGCGGCGUGCCUAAUACAUGCAAGUCGAGCGAACGGACGAGAAGCUUGCUUUUCUGAUGUUAGCGGCGGACGGGUGAGUAACACGUGGAUAACCUACCUAUAAGACUGGGAUAACUUCGGGAAACCGGAGCUAAUACCGGAUAAUAUUUUGAACCGCAUGGUUCAAAAGUGAAAGACGGUCUUGCUGUCACUUAUAGAUGGAUCCGCGCUGCAUUAGCUAGUUGGUAAGGUAACGGCUUACCAAGGCAACGAUGCAUAGCCGACCUGAGAGGGUGAUCGGCCACACUGGAACUGAGACACGGGCCAGACUCCUACGGGAGGCAGCAGUAGGGAAUCUUCCGCAAUGGGCGAAAGCCUGACGGAGCAACGCCGCGUGAGUGAUGAAGGUCUUCGGAUCGUAAAACUCUGUUAUUAGGGAAGAACAUAUGUGUAAGUAACUGUGCACAUCUUGACGGUACCUAAUCAGAAAGCCACGGCUAACUACGU
rnacentral:rRNA from 1 species